AAUAUGAGCAGCAGUGGAAUUGAUGACUGGAUAAGAAGCCCAACACAUUGUCUGGUAUUCAGCAAGGAAACAUCCUUACUCAUAUUCUUAAUAUUUCUAUCUCAUGUUUUUUUUUAUUUCUUAGUGAGCAUCAGAAUAAGAAAGAAUUGUCAUCAUGGCGGGGAAUUCAAGUGUUGCAGAAGUUCCAGCUGCUUCAAACAAAAACGAAAUGGUGCAGGGACACUCUCCAUCCACAAACAGCAGACCCCACUGCAGAUUACAGCUUUGAACCGAGACAUGGAUGGAACGAGCUGCGAGAGGCUGUGGUGAUGUUGGUAGAAGAUGUUUAUCACUGAAAUUGGAUGUGACAGGAAAGGGAUGACCUCAUCGAGGGAAGAAUCAUCAUUGGAAAAUAUAUUAAUUAGAAAAACUCGUAAUUCUCGCCACUUCAUGGACAGAGAGGCAAUCUGCUGUUUUAAUAAUGCUGCCUUCACAUAAAGA